GCCUCUAUAGCUCAGUGGUAGAGCAUCUGCCUUGUAAGCAGAGGGUCGAGGGUUCGAAUCCCUCUGGAGGCU
rnacentral:tRNA from 1 species